ensembl:lncRNA
GUGUGUGUGUGUGUGUGUGUAUAUAUAUAUAUAUAUCUUUGAGUAUUCAGUCACUAGAGGGAGCCCGUUUACUCUUAACAACUAGAAAGCUUCUGGAGCUUUGGAAAGAGAUAUUGGGGUUGUUAAAAAUACCUUACUGCUGCAAAAUAACUUUAUUAAAACCAAAAUCUACAUAUAUGCGUGAUCUACAUGAAAUGUAUAUAUUUCAUACUCUAUGAAUGAACAGAUUUACAAGGAGAAAACUUUGACAUCUCUUAAAACUCAUCACUAAAAUGGGUAUGGGCAUUCAUAAGAAUAUUUCAUCUUCUUUUUCCAUACAGUGCUACACAUAACUGGGCAUUAUAUUCCAGUUAUCAGGGUUACUGCAGUGCAGCGUCUGACAUCAUGAUCAGUGUUGCCUUUUCCUGGGGAUAUCCUUCACAAACACAGAGCCUGAGACUGGGACGGGAACAGGAAAGCAUUCACUUAAAGGAGGGUUGGCUGUGGUGAAGAGGUGAGAUUUUAGCAAGGACAAAUAUUCCUUCAGACACAACUUAUAUUUUGGACUUUAAUUCACUUUACUGGAUUAAUGGUUAUUUUCUGAAGGAUAAUAGACAAAAAUUGUAUACGAUAAAAAGAGUGAGAACAUGUAAAACAACAUGCUCUUUAAAUUAUUGAUGGGCCUUAAUAAUUAGUUAUAACUUUGAGCAAAAAUAUAUAUGUAAAGACUGCAUAAAUAUAUGAUCAUUCCCUCAACUAGGCAUCAUUUCUCUCUCUCUCUCUCUCGCUCAUGUCUGAACUUAAGGUUGAGCAAGUGGAGCUCCUGCCCUACAGCUGUUAUGGUUCAAGGGCAGGAAGCAGCUUGGUUCCCACACAAAGAAAGGCUCAACUCUUUCCCACGGUCAUAGAGCACGUGGUUUAAAAUUGGAUCCUGAAUGACCCACCCUCCCUAUUGAAACGUCACUGCAGUUCAGCCACUGAGAUCCUGUUACACUGCCAAAGAUUUUUUAGGUAUUUGAAUGAGUGUCUAUUGAACUGGCAAAGCACAGUAUAAGACACAUUCAACAAAACCGCAGAACCUACAGACAAGUUAAGUCAGGUUUGAGAGUUAAGAGACUAUGAAAUUAUGUUUUCAUAUGUUGAAUAUAGACAAGUUCCACCCUUGUUUCUCAUUGCAGAGCGUGCAAAAUUUGUUCAGGCAGUGCUCCAUCAAUUGUAAACAAUUGGAUAAUCUUUCUUGCACACACAAGAUGUUGAAAUGUUUAUGAUUGUGAACAUCUGUGACAUUGGGUAUGGACCACAAACAGACAGACAGACAGACGGACAGACAUAGAUAGACAGACAGACAGACAGACAGACAGACAGACAAAGAGAUUUCUGUCAUUUCAAGUGCAAUAAAGAGAAUUCACUUUGCA